rnacentral:rRNA from 1 species
GAUGAACGCUGGCGGCGUGCCUAAUACAUGCAAGUCGAGCGAACGGACGAGAAGCUUGCUUCUCUGAUGUUAGCGGCGGACGGGCGAGUAACACGUGGAUAACCUACCUAUAAGACUGGGAUAACUUCGGGAAACCGGAGCUAAUACCGGAUAAUAUUUUGAACCGCAUGGUUCAAAAGUGAAAGACGGUUUUGCUGUCACUUAUAGAUGGAUCCGCGCUGCAUUAGCUAGUUGGUAAGGUAACGGCUUACCAAGGCAACGAUGCGUAGCCGACCUGAGAGGGUGAUCGGCCACACUGGAACUGAGACACGGUCCAGACUCCUACGGGAGGCAGCAGUAGGGAAUCUUCCGCAAUGGGCGAAAGCCUGACGGAGCAACGCCGCGUGAGUGAUGAAGGUCUUCGGAUCGUAAAACUCUGUUAUUAGGGAAGAACAUAUGUGUAAGUAACUGUGCACGUCUUGACGGUACCUAAUCAGAAAGCCACGGCUAACUACGUG